AACGCAAAUUGCACUCUCUGGUAUUCCGGGGAGUAUACUUGCUUGAGGGUUAGUGAUUACAAAUCGUGAAAAGAAAUUUUUACGGAUCUGGAUUUUCCAAAGUUUUUUUUUGGUAAUCUAAAAUUUAUCUUAACAAUAGGUGAUAUUGGAAAUGUUUAUCUUUUAAUCCAUUACAAUUAUUACCAAUUUGUUACGUCGUGUUAUUUUUCUAAUUCCUUGAUUGGGUAAGAGUAACACAAUUUUCCCAUUGAAAUCUGACCUCAAGUCAAGUAAGAAUACCCGCUGAACUUAA
rnacentral:misc_RNA from 1 species